rnacentral:rRNA from 1 species
GAUGAACGCUGGCGGCGUGCCUAAUACAUGCAAGUCGAGCGAACAGACGAGGAGCUUGCUCCUCUGACGUUAGCGGCGGACGGGUGAGUAACACGUGGAUAACCUACCUAUAAGACUGGGAUAACUUCGGGAAACCGGAGCUAAUACCGGAUAAUAUAUUGAACCGCAUGGUUCAAUAGUGAAAGACGGUUUUGCUGUCACUUAUAGAUGGAUCCGCGCCGCAUUAGCUAGUUGGUAAGGUAACGGCUUACCAAGGCAACGAUGCGUAGCCGACCUGAGAGGGUGGUCGGCCACACUGGAACUGAGACACGGUCCAGACUCCUACGGGAGGCAGCAGUAGGGAAUCUUCCGCAAUGGGCGAAAGCCUGACGGAGCAACGCCGCGUGAGUGAUGAAGGUCUUCGGAUCGUAAAACUCUGUUAUUAGGGAAGAACAAAUGUGUAAGUAACUAGGCACGUCUUGACGGUACCGAAUCAGAAAGCCACGGCUAACUACGUG